UGCAUUCACUACUGUAAGUCGCUCUGGAUAAAGAGCGUCUGCUAAAAAUGACUAAAA
rfam:Salmo salar isolate Sally breed double haploid chromosome ssa13, whole genome shotgun sequence.